AAGCCAAAAGAAAGGUUUCCGCCAUGUGGGACCAUUUUGAUCUCAUAUCGGAAAAUAAGGUUAAAUGUCGCAUUUGUUCGACAGAACUUUCCUACUUAAAUAAAUCCACCUCCUCAAUGCUGAGGCAUUAUAGGGCCAGGCAAUAUGUCAGAUAUUUAAAUAACAUUUACUGUAGGUAAACAUACGUAUUGGAUCAAAAUUGGUAUUGAUAAAUACUUAUUAUUAAAGGAAAAAAUGGAUUGGGACAACCCUAAUUUUUGGUCUUCAAAAUUUUACAUAACCUUGCACUUAGAGGAUUAUUUUUAUCUGCAGGGUCAACAGGAGCAUGGAGGAACAGCAGAACCUACUCAGGAAAGAGAAAGUCGGAUCUUCAGGGUGAAUCCAGCAAAUCACUGAGUAAACGACAACGCAACACUAUACAUGGAUCAU